GGAAAGUACCACUCAGUAGGAUGCAUUAGGGACUCUGGACAGCAGGCCACGAGUGAGACAGACUGGGAUCACCCAGGCUUGACAACUCAUAACAGAUGUGCCAGCAGUGACAGCCUAUGACUUCGAAGCCUUGGCUUCCAGAUGCCCUGAAGCUUGCACUUCCACCCUCGAUGAACACUGCUGCCACAGGAGCAAACCCAUCUGUGAGGUCCAGUGCCUGAGCCCCGAAGGCACUCCUCCAAGAAAUGUUGCCUGA